AACGAACGCUGGCGGCAGGCUUAACACAUGCAAGUCGAACGCAUCCUUCGGGGUGAGUGGCAGACGGGUGAGUAACGCGUGGGAACGUGCCCUUCAGUUCGGGAUAACCCAGGGAAACUUGGGCUAAUACCGUAUACGUGCGAGAGCAGAGAGAUUUAUCGCUGAAGGAUCGGCCCGCGUCUGAUUAGCUAGUUGGUGGGGUAAUGGCCCACCAAGGCGACGAUCAGUAGCUGGUCUGAGAGGAUGAUCAGCCACAUUGGGACUGAGACACGGCCCAAACUCCUACGGGAGGCAGCAGUGGGGAAUAUUGGACAAUGGGCGCAAGCCUGAUCCAGCCAUGCCGCGUGAGUGAUGAAGGCCUUAGGGUUGUGAAGCUCUUUCGUCCGGGACGAUAAUGACGGUACCGGAAGAAGAAGCCCCGGCUAACUUCGUGCCAGCCGCCGCGGUAAGAC
rnacentral:rRNA from 1 species